GCCAGUGUGGCAUAGUGGUUUGAGUGUGUUGGACUAUGACUCUGGAGGCCAGGGUUCAAAUCCCAGCCUGGCC